AAGGGUGUAGCUCAGUGGUGUAGCUCAUAUUUAGCGUGUGUGAGGCCCUGGGUUUGAGCCCCAGCAUCAUCA
rnacentral:tRNA from 1 species